UACGUAGGGUGCAAGCGUUAAUCGGAAUUACUGGGCGUAAAGCGUGCGCAGGCGGCUAUGCAAGUCAGAUGUGAAAUCCCCGGGCUCAACCUGGGAACUGCAUUUGAGACUGCAUGGCUAGAGUACGGUAGAGGGGGAUGGAAUUCCGCGUGUAGCAGUGAAAUGCGUAGAGAUGUGGAGGAACACCGAUGGCGAAGGCAGCCCCCUGGGCCAAUACUGACGCUCAUGCACGAAAGCGUGGGGAGCAAACAGG
rnacentral:rRNA from 1 species